UUUGCCACUUGAUGUGAGUUCCACAUUGGAAGGUAGGGAGCUGCAGUCUGCUCUCUUCCCUUCCCACCAGAGCUGCAGGAAGCAGUGGUUUCUUUCACUUCUUGUAGAGCUACCAGCUAUGGAGCAUCUUGCAUGGCCUCUCCUUACACAGAAACAGGCAGCAAUGUUUCAUCCAUAUCAACUCCCGGGACCACCACGUUCACAUCAGGGCUCUGGUGUGCAAGGCAGUGUGGGAGCAAUGACCAGAUGAACAGCCACAGCUUCUUGGGAGUGGACAGCAGAAGAGCCAAAGGACCAGAGAUGCUCAUAGGUGAUGCCCUUGUGGAAACUGUCAAUUUCUCUAGGAAGAACUUCAAAAGGAAGAACUCUAGGAAGACGUCACUGUUACAGCUCCCAUAUACUGACUACACAUGGAGACUAACGCCAUUAAUGAUGCUGGUGGGUGGUUGUAUGCAAGGUCUCUUGCACAGCUCUGGAAGUGCUGCUGCCUCCUAACCUGCAGCCCUCGCUGGUUCAGACACCUCCUUUCACAGUGAGGUCAUCUCAUGGGUGCAAACCCCAAACCUUCAUUGCUUGUAAAUUAAUUGAGACUCAGACCUACUCCUACCCCAGCUCUAUUCACAGCUAGCAUCUGACUUUAUCCCAUCAUGUUCUUCCUACAAUUUUGGUUGAAUUACUCUAGCCUGUGUGACAUGACUAGUUCAACAGUGCUGUGCCUUGGGACAUGAUCUUUGCUAAAGUGUGUGAAAUUCUUUUUGCAGUUUCUCAAUGAAUGAAGUGAGGCUUUUGUACAAUUCCUAUUUCUUACGUUUCCAUACAGUAAUGAAAUAUGUGCUAUUUUCUCUCAGAAGUUAAUGCUAUUUUCCAAACAUUCUGCUUUGCCCUACUCCGCAGACUCCUGGUCUCCACAGGCUGCACGGGCCAGGUCUCCUAUUCUGAGCCACACCAGAGCUUGGGUUUCAGAAGACAGUUGUAUAGCACCUUUGAGAUCUCCAGAUCCCAUGUCUGGAGAGAUUCAGGCUCACCACAACCUCGAGGGAGGCCUGCAACCUUCCUGUAGUUGUGCUGCAGAUAUAAGUUUGUCUUUAUGUUAUUCUGUAGCCCAGUGGUGUGGGAUAAGGUGAGAUGCAGGAAAAGAUUCUUCAUGAAAAGUUGCACAUAUUUUGUCUCCUAACAAGAUACAGCCAUGGCUGAGUAUUCUUGUAGCAAACAUCCUAAUAAUCCAAACAGUAUUCUCCCAUGUCAUUCACAUCCUACUUUGUGCAGGGGCUCUUCCCUCUCUUCAGAUGCAAGGAUAAGGAGAGGCCUUACCUUUUGCAAAAGAAGGAGACUACAGGAAAGGGUGAGGAAAAUGAGUGUUUCAGCCUUUUGCACUGGCAAAGAUCAUUUGGGGAACCCUCACCCAGAUGUAAAUCACAUAUCCGAAAUCCAUGUAUAAGAUUACAACAUACAAAAGUUCCUAAUAAUCUCAAACUCUCAAACUCUCUGAAGUUGUUUGUUGUUUUUUUGUUUGUUUGUUUGUUUUUAACAGCUUACAGUCUUUUAGCAUGUUUUCACAUUUCUUUGGAUGUCUUGUCCCUCAGCAGUGAGUUUCUCUUAUUUUUUCUCUCUUUGCUGCUGCUGUUGGUUGGGUGUUUAUGCCCUUGGCAUUUUCUACCUGCAGGGCACAUCUAUCAAAUCAAGCACAACACUGAACUUGGGCCAUGCCAAACUCACCGCACGAGGAGCUCUGUAGCCACAAAAAAACUCUCAUCCGUGUUUCCCUCCCUGAGCCCAGUCAAAUCAAGCAGCAUUUUAAGCUGAUUUGCAGCCCUCUACCAUCAAGGCUGUGACUGUGUCUCGGCUAAAACCUGCCUCAUGAUGGACAGUCAACUGAAUAUGAGCCAGCAGUGUGCCCAGGUGGUCAAGAAGGCCAAUGGCAUCCCAGCUUGUUUCGGGAAUGGCCUGGUGAGCAGGACUAGGGAAGUAAUCCUGCCCCUGUAGUCGGCACUGGUGAGGCCUCACCUUGAGUACUGUGUUCAGUUUUGGGCAUCUCAGUACAGAAAGGACAUUGAGGUGUCAGAGCAGUUCCAAAGAAGGGCAAGGCCCUUGCAGAGGCCUUGUAGAAUAUUCCCUGUGAGGAGCAACUGAAGGAGUUGGGGCUGUUUAGUCUGGGGAAGAAGAGGCUGAGGGGACCUCUUCAAAUACCUGAAAGGUGAUUGCAAUGAGAGCGGGGCUGGUCUCUUCUCACUGGUGACAGGUGACAGAAUGAGGGGAAAUGGCCUCAAGUUGCACCAGGGUAAGUUUAGGUUGGGUAUCAGGAAAAACUUCUAUACAGAAAGGGUGUUUAAGCACUGGAAUAGGCUCCCCAGGGAGGUGGUUGAGUCACCAUCCCCGGAUGUGUUUAAAAACUGAUUGGAUGUGGUGCUCAGGGACAUCAUUUAGCGGAGGGUUGUUAGAGUUAGGUAGUAUGGUUAGGUUGUGGUUGGACUUGAUGAUCUUCAAGGUCUUUUCCAGUCUGACCAAUUCUAUGAUUCUACGAUUCCAUGAGCUAAGCCUGACCAUCCACAACCACCUUUGCCCCAUUGCGCAUAGCCCAUCAUAUUAAACUCUGCUCUUACCCAUACCCCCAGCCAUUCCCAUCAGGUGAAACACCAGAAGGGCUCACACAGUGUGCCCACUGCUGUGACUGCUUUUUACCCCUGCUGCCUUUUGACACAGAGCAGAAAUGGGGUUGCUGAUAACCUGCCAUGGAGAAACAGAACAAAAAGGAAUUGCUUUCUUCACCACUGCCUUUGUUCACAGUGGCUUGCUUUUGGACUCUUGCAUGUCUAUAAUCAAAUGGUGCUGCUUUCCACAUGCUGCAGCUCUCUGUUUAAGUUUAGAGGAAUCUCCUUUAAAUAUUUAUUUAAACAGUAACAUCUCUUGAGCUCUUUACAAUUUGUUGUACAGAUUUGUCUUUUAUAAAACACCCCAGAUUUUAUUUAUUUUCUUGAUCUGCCUCCCCAUCCCAUGGCUGCACUGGGAACCAGCACCUCCUUUUGCUGAGGCUGCAGCACGCGUAGCUCAGGCACUGGUGCCUGCUCCAUGGGGCUCUCAGACCUCAUCUCCAGCACCUACCAAGGACUGACAGAGCUGCAGGACAGAGCUUUGGCACAUUGUUUCUGUCCUAGGAACUCAACAAUCCUAUAACUUCCAGGAAUAGGCUCCUUUCAGAGGCAGGAAAGCUACUUUGAUAGCCCUCUCUUCCUACUAUUACAUACACACAACAGCUGAGCCUGGAAGCACAUGCAUACGCAGUCACUCAUUUGUUUUCACAUACAAUGUGGAUUAAAAUUUCAGGUAGUCAAUAGCAGCUGUGGAUUAAAUGCGUGAUGUCCCCAGGUGGGUGUAAAGAAUGGUGCUGGUGGAUGGUGUCCCCAGGAGUGCAACCCCACAUGCACUUGGAGACACCAGGGAGGGCUCUCUGGUCCAAAGCUGGGAGCUGAGGUGAGUGGGGCUUUGUGUUUCGGUGGAAUUCUGCUGAAGAGUGUCCUGUAUUUUUAUUUCUUUAAAUUUCUGAUUCCCUACCCAUGGUAAACAAACCUUUCAAUAACAGGUAAAUUAUAACUUCCAAACCUGCACUUCUGUGCAUUUUCUGAGCAACAGGCUUUUGAGACACAUGAAAUGUUCUGUACUAUUCAGAUGAAGUCCUCAAGUUAGAUAAGGGCUCACCAUUAAAAAUAAUACAAAAUUGGUACAUAAAAAUAAUACAAAAUUGGAAGUGUACAUUAAAAAAGAAGAUUCACCAACCAGGGCAUUUGCUCAUAUUUAAUUUUAGCUGAAGGUGCACUUUCAACAAAGUAUUUGGUAACUUCCAUGUUAUCUGUUAAGAAGUUUGCCUGACAUAAUCACUAUUUAAGACUAAGUGGUAGAGACCUACAGUCCUGUGUUUUUAAUUCCACAUUAUUCCAGCAUCCCGAUGAAUCAGAUAUUGGCAAAAUCUCCAUAGCCAGUGUAGGCUUGAGUAAGAAUUGGAUUACUCACCCACAUAAGCAAGUGCAAAGGAGGUAAUUCAUUAUGCUGUUUCUAAGGUAUAAUUGAAGCCCACCUUCCCAUUCUAGGCUCUAUGUGGGUUUAAUCGGGGGAGCUAAACAGGGGAAAAGUACCACAGCUUCUCUGAAUCAUUUUUAUUCUUGUUCUGGUUCUUUAUCACUAAUUACAUCACGACAUAUUUCCAUGGAGACUGAGAGCGGUGCCAUCAGCCUGCAGUCCCUCCAGUCCCCCUUGGCACCUUCACUUGCUUUUUUAAGUGCAGUGUUUCUCUGCAAAGUCCCUUGGGAGGAAGAAAUAGGCUGUGUUUUGAUCAAGGUCCUUCUUGUUCUGAGUGGAAAUUUCAACAGACUAAAUAAAAAGAUAUAUCCUUUAGAGAAUGAAUGUUAUUGGUGAAGCUGGGGGAUCAAUUAGUCUUUUUCUGUGGCUGAGGAUGAUUGCAGAAACAGAUUUGAACAUCGGCAUGGCAUUGAGCAUUACUUUUCUCCCAUGGUGAGUGCAAUAUGUGGAAAGGCUGUCUCAGACAUCCUUUUCCUUUUUUCAAUCUGAACUGGAAAGACCUCUUCGUACUUUCCACCACACAAGGCAUCUUCAGCAACAUGGAUGUAGUAUCGCAGUUCAAUACAUUUAAAUCAAUACCUCUGUCAAGAGCUUAUUUCCCAAGGUGGGUAUGUGAAGCCUUUAUGUGGCCACUGUCCACAUCCACCAAGUCGUCUUGUGUCAGAGCCAGGGUCAGUUAUCUCCUUUAAUUCAGAUACAUCCAAGUUAUUUAAGUUCCAGAAACAAAGAAUGUUAAUGGUUCAGAAAGGAAGCUACUUGUUUCCAGCUAGAACUGAACCAAACUCUCUUAUUUCCUCUUGGAAUGACAUUAGGCCAUGCCCCUGUUUUGUGCUUUGAUGUCUCAUGGAUCUGUAUCUGUCUCACAAGCUGGGCUGUGUGCACCUGUAAGCCAAAGCAAUUGCACUCCUGUGUUGCCCUGGUGGAGCUGGAAACACCUCUGACAUCAAAGAAUACAAUUUUUGGAUGGUUGAACUGGAUGAUUUGGUGGUUGGACUAGAUCUUAGAGGUCUUUUCCAACCUUAAUGAUUUUAUGAUUCUACGAUUUUCAAUCCUGCUUAAUCCUGC
rnacentral:lncRNA from 1 species